UGCUGGCGCUAACCAUGGCUUUCUGAAGUGCAAGCUAUUUCGAUAUGAAAAAUUUCUGCUGUUCGCGUGCUGUGUUCGUCUUGGCCGCUGCAGCCGUUAUCCUUUCGACAGUGGAAAGACUAUGUCCACAAUUCGCCCAUGCUGAACCUCUUUUCAAGUCCGGUUUUCGAACUACACGUCCUACUACACGUCGGCCUCCAUGUGGAGGAUCAUCAGGUGGAUUUUCAAAUCGAGCGGUUCAUGGAGGCCCUACAACGAGAAGAAUAUCGCAAGGGUCGUUCAAGCUUUGAGAGGCUGCUUUAUCACCAUUGUGAAAAUUUUGAAGACGUGCUCUCCUGUGCGAUGCCACGCAAAGUGGAAGCAGACGAAUAAAUAAAUGAAGUUACCGAUUCUCUUUUGACCACUUUAUUGCAAAUAAUAAACAUGUUAUAAUGCCUACAUUG